rnacentral:rRNA from 1 species
UACGGAGGAUCCAAGCGUUAUCCGGAUUUAUUGGGUUUAAAGGGUGCGUAGGCGGCUUAUUAAGUCAGGGGUGAAAGACGGUGGCUCAACCAUCGCAGUGCCUUUGAUACUGAUGAGCUUGAAUACACUAGAGGUAGGCGGAAUGUGACAAGUAGCGGUGAAAUGCAUAGAUAUGUCACAGAACACCGAUUGCGAAGGCAGCUUACUAUGGUGUCAUUGACGCUGAGGCACGAAAGCGUGGGGAUCAAACAG